rnacentral:tRNA from 2 species
UCCCGGAUCUCUCAGUUGGUAGAGCACUCGACGGUUAAUCGAGUUGUCACAGGUCCGAGCCCUGUUCGGGGAGCUA